UAAAUAACACAAAAAUCAAUGAUGAACGCAUUAUAAGGCAAUUGAGUUUGUCACAACUGCAAAAUAUUGCUGAGUGUGGAUUGCUCUGAAAUCUGAAAACAUUACUUGUGAAUUGCUUAUAUCCAAAAUGCAGACACAGUGCUGGGUGUUGGUUUACUUGUUUCUGAUUUUUCAACUCUCUUUUCUAUGCAAAAGGUGCCCAAACUAUACAGACCCACAGAAUCUAACAGAUGUCUCAGUAGUCCACCUCCUAGAACUCUCAGAGGAUCCAGAACUGCAGCCAGUCCUUGCUGGGCUGUUCCUGUCCAUGUGCCUCAUCACGGUGCUGGGGAACCUACUCAUCAUCCUGGCCGUCAGCCUGACUCCCACCUCCACAUCCCCAUGUACUUCUUCCUCUCCAACCUGUCCUUGCCUGACAUCAGUUUCACCUCCACCACAGUCUCCAAGAUGUUUGUGAACACCCAACCUCACAGCAGAGUCAUCUCCUACGCAGGCUGCCUGACCCAGAUGUCUCUUUUUGCCGUUUUUGGAGGCAUGGAAGAAAGACAUGUUCCUGAGUGUGAUGGCUGUAAGACUGGUUUGUAGCCAUCUGUCACCCUCUAUAUUAUUCAGUCAUCAUGAACCGGUGUUUCUGUGGCUUCCUAGUUCUGUUGUCUUUUUUUCUCCAUCUUUUAGACUCCCAGCUGUACAAUUUGAUUGCCUUACAAAUUACCUGCUUCAAGGAUGUGGAAAUUCCUGAUUUCUUCUGUGACCCUUCUCAGUUCCUCCACCUUGCAUGUUGUGACACCUUCACUAAUAACAUAGUCAUGUAUUUCCCUGCUGCCGUAUUUGGUUUUCUUCCCACCUUGGGGAUCCUUUUAUCUUACUAUAAAAUUGUUUUCUCCAUUCUGAGGGUUUCAUCAUCAGGUGGGAACUAUAAAGCCUUCUCCACCUGUGGGUCUCACCUGUCAGUUGUGUGCUUAUUUUAUGGAACAGGUAUUGGAGGGUACCUCAAUUCAGAUGUGUCAUCUUCCCCCAGAAAGGGUUCAGUGGCCUCAGUGAUAUACACGGUGGUCACCCCCAUGCUGAACCUCUUCAUCUACAGCCUGAGAAACAGGGAUAUUAAAAGUGUCCUGCGGUGGCCGCAAGGCAGAACAGUCUAAUCUCAGUAUCUUGUUAUCUGUUCCA